rnacentral:lncRNA from 1 species
GGUGGGGCAAGCAAGCUCAGGGAGCCGGUCAAGUGCAAAAAUUAAGUCACUGAUGUUACCAGUGGCGAUGCUGAAGACAAAAACACAUCUCUGGCUGAUCAGUCAACUCUGCUCCUGACACAGAACAAAUCUUCCAAAGGAUUGUUAAUGAUCUGGCUGAUUUUUCACAAAAGCUAAAAUGGGAUAUGACUUCACUCUGGAAGAUAGAAUCAUCUUCGAAGAGUCUCAUGAAAUCUGUUUUUAAGAACAUUUUCAUUCACAGUGCUGUAAACGAGAAUCUUCCACAUCUGGAAAUGCUGAGUGUUGGAUGUUACUCUGCUGCUAUUUAGGUACGGUCAAGAAAUGAUUUGCUCUCAACUCACUAGAAUGUAAACUCCAUGAGAGAAGGGACCCGACCUGCUUUUGUCCACUGCCAUACAUCUCUGGUACACGGGUAAUUUUUCCAAGAAUAGCUGUAACCUGGUUGUGUUUGUGGGAGGAGGUGAGUUCAGAGUCUGCCUACCCCGCCACCUUGACGAGAUCCCUCAGAAGGAAGACUGAACAAAGAACAAUUCGGGACGAGAAAGAAGUCCAGCAGGAAGAACUGAGCACGGCGUCUUGCUUCUCCUGUGGCCCCUCUCUGUGGAAGAACACCUCUAUCCACCAAGACCCCUAAACUGGGAAACCAAGAGUCCUGCUGCGAGGUCCCUCUCACUCGCUUGGCCCGCGUUCAGACCCUUACCAAAACUUGGUGAUUUCACAGUGCUUUCCAAAUUACGCCCAGCGGGGUGAGUCGGAGACGGAGGGCAGGGGCUCCACUUCCAAAAAAAAACAGCACUGCCACGGUUCCAAGUAAAAUUGCAAGAUUUUGUUUGAUAAAAAGAAUUCCACCGUGGGAGCAAAUUUUUGGAACCUUUAACACUUCUCUUUUGUGUCCGUCACCUCUUCUCCAUCCUCCCGCCUUUGUCGUCGGUCAGUCCUUCAUCAUGUGCAACUUGGAUUAUGACAAAGGCCCACGUGCUGAUGCCCUGCCUAUGGUCUUCCUCCUUCCUGCUCCUGCUCCAUUCUUUUACCAGAAAAUCAUUCAUUUUCUUCCCUCCUCAAAUUGCUUCAAUGGUUCCUUUUUGAAGCCGUAUAAAACACUAAGUACCUUUGCAUAGAAACCAAAACCUCUAUAAUCUUGUUUACCUGUCCAGUUCUUCUCCCCCAACUCACCCCUUCCCCUAUCACUGCUACCACAAUGCUAUCAUAAUAUUAUUCUCUGUAUAAUGUUGUUCUAGGACAACAUGGAACCCUUGUCUCUGUGCCUUUGUGCUUUCUGAUCCCUCUGAUUGGAAAGCCUUUCUUCUUUGUAUGUCCUGACUCCUCUUUAAAAUUUAACUCAAGCACCGCCAUCGCUGGGGAACCUUUUUUAACAACCUAAGAUGACCAAGACAUGACUACACUUUGGGAACCACAUGGCAAAAUAUCUUUUUUUAGAAACCCCAAGUUCUCAUCUUUCUAUUGUUUAAAAGCCAUUUAUUUUUACUUAAGCGUCUCAAUGUAUCUAUUUUAUGACGUUCAGCUUUGAGGAAAAUAUAAGGAUGAUAGAAAUCUGUGUCUUCAGGAAUUUACGGUCAAAUUGUGGAGCUAAUUUAUGAAAUCUAUCAGGCCUUUCCAGAGGGGAUAUAUAUAUCUUUGUCACCAACCCACAAAUUCAGGAAGACCCUUAAUAUUGAAGGCUGGGCGACUGGCCAGUCUGACUCACUUACCAACUGACUCACUCCCUUGUGUAAGGUACUUUGUGAUGGAAUAUAUGUGUGAUCUCAUUUAAUUAUCAUGAUUAUUACAUAAGAAGGAAAUAUAAUUAUUAUUACAUAUCAAAGAUCUUAUUAUUCUAAAAAAUAGCAACUUUUGGUAUUAAAAAAUGUAAAAUCUGUUUACACCGAGGGUCUACAAUGGUUAAGGAAAAAGCAAUGCAGCCAAAACAGUAGCAGAGUGGAUAAACUUGUGACAUUGACAUUGUCCAGUUAGCCCUGAACCAGCGAAACCCUGGGCCGCCGCAGCGGAGCACGCACGCGAACUUAACCACUCAGCCAUGGGGCUGGCCCCAAGUGUUUCUUAACUUGACCAUUUUUUGCAAUUUAUGAGACCUCCCUCUUUAGAGUCAAAGGCCUUCCUAGUCCUUGUCCUGAUCCAGAAAACUCUUGAGCUCUGUGGAGUGGUGGUGCGUGCUUUGUAACACUUACAGCACGUGUAGUCUCCUCCUGCAGGGCGAUGCGGCUUUGUUUCGCC